rnacentral:rRNA from 1 species
GACGAACGCUGGCGGCGUGCUUAACACAUGCAAGUCGAACGGUAAGGCCCUUCGGGGUACACGAGUGGCGAACGGGUGAGUAACACGUGGGUGAUCUGCCCUGCACUUCGGGAUAAGCCUGGGAAACUGGGUCUAAUACCGGAUAGGACCACUGCCUGCAUGGGUGGUGGUGGAAAGCUUUUGCGGUGUGGGAUGGGCCCGCGGCCUAUCAGCGUGUUGGUGGGGUGAUGGCCUACCACGGCGGCGAAGGGUAGCCGGCCUGAGAGGGUGACAGGCCACACUGGGACUGGGAUACGGCCCCGACUCCUACGGGAGGAAGCAGUGGGGAAUAUUGCACAAUGGGCGCAAGCCUGAUGCAGCGACGCCGCGUGAGGGAUGACGGCCUUCGGGUUGUAAACCUCUUUCAGCACCGACGAAGCGCAAGUGACGGUAGGUGCAGAAGAAGGACCGGCCAACUACGUGCCAGCAGCCGCCGUAA